rnacentral:rRNA from 1 species
GACAGAGGUCCCGAGCGUUAGGCGGAAUCACUGGGCUUAAAGCGUGUGUAGGUGGAUGCCUAAGUACCUUGUGAAAUCCCACAGCUUAACUGUGGAAUUGCUUGGUAUACUGGGUGUCUUGAGCCACUCAGGGGCUACCGGAACAAACGGUGGAGCGGUGAAAUGCGUAGAUAUCGUUUGGAACGCCAAUGGUGAAAACAGGUAGCUGGGGGUGUGCUGACACUGAGACACGAAAGCCAGGGGAGCAAACGGG